GUGCUUACACAUGCAAGUCGACGCGCAGUCUGUAGCAUACAGGCGGGCGCGUGGCGAACGGGUGCGUAACACGUGGAUAACCUUCCUUCAGGUGGGGAAUAACCCAGUGAAAAUUGGGCUAAUACCGCAUAACAAGACGAUGGCACAUGCCGUUGUCUUCAAAGGCGCAAGUCGCCAGAAGAGGGAUCCGCGGCCGAUUAGCUUGUUGGCGGGGUAAUGGCCCACCAAGGCAAUGAUCGGUAGCCGGACUGAGAGGUUGGCCGGCCACACUGGAACUGAGACACGGUCCAG
rnacentral:rRNA from 1 species